AACACAUUUCUUUUGAAUAUGCCAAAAGUAGUUCCAAUGAAAAAUUAUUUGUUUUUAUUUCAAUUAAUCUGUUGCAUAGCUAAAUCAGACUUGCAUCACUAUUCACAAAUUUUCUAUGAAUAUGUAUACCAAUUUAAUUAGGUAUAAACACAAUGUAAUUGCAAGCAGUUGUUAGCAUAGAUUCAUAAUUUAAAAAAAAUAAAAAAAUAAAUCAAGUUUUGUAUGAAACUGUUGUUUUUAAAAAGCAUUAGGGGAUACUCAUACAUUUAAUUUUUGCUCAGUUCACAUAAGCACGGUGCUAACUCAUGUAAAAUGUAGUGAUAAUUGUUCUGUGAACUAAAUAAGUUUGUCUUUCUAUGUUCUCAAACUUAUAUUAUUCUUUAUUUCUGUUUAGAAUCACAUGGAAAUACUACUGAAGAUUAGGCUGUAUGGUCUCAUGCCUUUGCCUAUCCACUUGUGGAUAAUAUAUACUACUACUUAUAUUAUUCUGAUGAUGAGGGAGAAAAUAAAUAAAAUAACUAUAUUAUGUUAAAUCUUUGCGAGUAAAAAAUACAUAUUAUCUUUUAGAUAAUAAAUAUAUGAAUAUUAUUUAUUACAAUAAUUGUAAAAUUUUCAUUAUUCUCUUUUUUAUAGAAUAUAUUGUGAUAGUGUAAUCAAUUAUUCAGGUUUUUAUAUUAAUACUAUAUAUAUUAUAUUUUUGUGAAUACUCUUUUAUUCAAUUUUAUUAAAAAGAGUUUAAGGCAAAAAAGGGCUAAGUGGAAUGUUUGAUAAUGUCUUUAUUGUAGGAGAGAUAGAAAUAAUAUAGACAAAAAAUUAGAGAUUGUGUCAAUUGUGUUCUGUCAGUCCUCAAAAUAUUAUAUGCAGUAUUUAACACAUUUUGAAAGAUAGUGCCUUAUUAAUAAUUAUAAAAAUGAAGUACUGUAGUAAAAUCUAAAUAAAUGCAUUAACAUAUUGAUCAUAUUUAUACAUAUACUACCUUAGCUAUCUAGCUACCUUUUAUAAUGGCAAACUUUAUAAAAAGUACCUAUUUAUGAUACAUUGAUACAUUUCAUGUUAAUUAAAUUUAUGACUAGAGUUAUUUUGUGUAAACCAUACAACAGUUUGAAACAUCCAUAAAAGCAUAAUUUUUUGUGUUUUGUGCAUGCUAUGCUUUGGACAUCUCCACAUGGACCAGUACCAUUGGUUCAUGCUUGCAUAUGCUAAGGAGUGGCCUGUGUAGCAGUGCAAUGGACAAAAGUGAUUAAGAGUUAGAGAAAUUAAUCCAAUUUGGCACCUGACAUAGAUUUGUAAUGCUGGUCAAGAUAUUAUUAGUGUGGUUGCUAAUCAUCCAGGAGCAUGCCAUGAUUCCUUUAUUUGGAAUAAUCAUCUGCUAUGAUCACACUUGAAAACUACAACUGAGGCAAUAUGGCUUUUAGGAAGGUCCACAGAAGAGUUUCAACAACAGGCUUUGAUGUAACCAACUGUAAUAUCUCUUUAAGAAUCAGUAGAGCAGCAAAAUCCUGAAUUACAGGUGGACUUUUCAGCAGGCUACUGAAACAAAUAAUAUUUUACAUAAUAAUAACUUAGGAUACAAUACAUAACAUUUGCUUAAUGAUUUCGUAUAUGAUUUAGACCUCUAU